rnacentral:rRNA from 1 species
UACGGAGGGUGCAAACGUUGCUCGGAAUCAUUGGGCGUAAAGCGCACGUAGGCGGCUUGUUAAGUCGGGUGUGAAAUCCCUGGGCUCAACCCAGGAAGUGCACUCGAAACUGGCGAGCUUGAAUAUGGAAGAGGGUCGCGGAAUUCCCGGUGUAGAGGUGAAAUUCGUAGAUAUUCGGAAGAACACCAGUGGCGAAGGCGACUCGCUGGACAGGUAUUGACGCUGAGGUGCGAAAGCGUGGGGAGCAAACAGG